AAUUAUCAAACAUGACUAAUAUCAAAUGCCCUUGCGUGGAAAUCACAGUUGUCUAGUGAUAAGUGGAAAUGAAUAAACUAUACAAUCAAAUAACAGUUUUUAUUUAUUUUUAUUCAUUUAAACAAUUGAGCUUGAAUUGAGGGGAGACUGAAUACCUCAACUAAUUUUUGAGAAAUGUAAACGUACCUUUACUAUGUCUAUUUGUUUGAAGUGGGACGCAGAGAAGGACUAUACCUAUAAAAGUAUUCAGUGUAAUUCUGA